rnacentral:rRNA from 1 species
AUGGCGCCAUUUGCGACGUCGACGAGGCCGGCGUCCCUGCAGCUCUCUGCCCUCCUCUGCGUCCUCCUCUUCUCAGAGGUUUGGGUGCUGCAAUGCAGCGCGGCGAUCGGCAUCAACUACGGGCAGGUGGGCAACAACCUGCCGACGCCGGCGCAGGUGGUGUCGCUGCUGUCGUCGCUGCGGGUGGGCAAGGUGCGCAUCUACGACGUGAACCCGCAGGUGCUGGCGGCGUUCGCCGGCACGGGCAUCGAGCUCAUCGUCACCGUGCCCAACGACCUGGUGCAGCCCAUGGCCGCCAGCGCGGGGCAGGCCAUGCAGUGGGCCACCGCCAACAUCAAGCCCUACUUCCCGGCCACGCGCGUCACGGGCAUCGCCGUCGGGAACGAGGUGUUCACCGACGACGACCAGGCGCUCAAGGCCAGCCUGGUCCCGGCGAUGCGCAACCUGCACGCCGCGCUGGCCCAGCUGGGCAUGGACGGGUACGUGCACGUCUCCACGGCCAGCUCCCUCGGCGUGCUCGCCAACUCGUACCCGCCGUCGCAGGGCGCCUUCACGCCGGAGUGCGCCCCCCUCAUGCUCCCCUUCCUCCGCUUCCUCGCCGAGACCAACGCCCCCUUCUGGAUCAACGCCUACCCCUACUUCGCCUACAAGGCCGACCCCGCAAACGUGUCCCUGUCGUACGCGCUGUCGGACCCGUACCACGUCGGCGCGGUGGACCCCUACACGCACCUGCAGUACACGAGCAUGCUGUACGCGCAGGUGGACGCGGUGACCUUCGCGGCGGCGCGGCUGGGCUACGGCGGCAUCCCGGUGUUCGUGUCGGAGACGGGGUGGCCGUCCAAGGGCGACGCCGACGAGGUGGGCGCCACGGUGGAGAACGCCCUCGCCUACAACCGGAACCUGCUGGUGCGGCAGGUGGGCAACGAGGGCACGCCGCUGCGCCCCCGCCAGCGCCUCGAGGUCUACCUCUUCGCGCUCUUCAACGAGGACAUGAAGCCCGGCCCCACCUCCGAGCGCAACUACGGCCUCUACCAGCCCGACGGCCGGAUGGUCUACAACGUCGGCCUCGCCCAGCAGCAGACCACGUCGGCGGCCUCCCUCUCCCUCGCCGCCUCCUCCGCGCCCCCCGCCAUGGAUGUUGGAAAGGACUUGACGAGCCUGUGCCUCAUCUCAGCUCUGGCCAUCCUGCUCACCUCCCAGGCUUUCUUACUGGGAUAG